CCUACGGGCGGCAGCAGUGGGGAAUCUUGCGCAAUGGGCGGAAGCCUGACGCAGCGACGCCGCGUGCGGGACGAAGGCCUUCGGGUCGUAAACCGCUUUCCGCAGGGACGAGGCCCUCACGGUGACGGUACCUGCAGAAGGAGCCCCGGCUAACUACGUGCCAGCAGCCGCGGUAAUACGGAGGGUGCGAGCGUUAGUCGGAAUGACUGGGCGUACAGCGCGCGUAGGCGGUAUGUCAAGUCAAGGGUGAAAUCCCCGCGCUCAACGUUGGAACUGCCUUUGAAACUGGCAAACUGGAGUGUGUGAGAGGAUAGUGGAAUUCCAGGUGUAGGAGUGAAAUCCGUAGAGAUCUGGAGGAACAUCAGUAGCGAAGGCGACUAUCUGGCACAUAACUGACGCUGAGGAGCGAAAGCGUGGGGAGCAAACAGGAUUAGAUACCCGAGUAGUC
rnacentral:rRNA from 1 species